AGUGAAUUCUACAAAGAGGCUAUGGGAAAGAAACCUGGAAAGUACCCUUGGCUGUGUACAUUUGAGUAAAGAGAGCACUAUAAAAUCAAAAACCAAUGAAAUGGUUUCCAGAACACAGAACUAUUAAGCUUAAGAAAAGGACAGAAGGAACUGAAGAGAGAGGAACUGUUUUGGAGCAUCACACUUCCACCUCAGAAGAAAUAAGGAAGGAAGGAGGAGGGUGUUCCCACGGCUCUUCAACCAGGCCGGCUCUUCAGCCUACAUCCCCAUCUCAUCAAGUAAAAGGGAUUUUUCAACUGGACCAACCAGAUGGUUUAACAGUGCACUCCCACACCAUUCAACUACGCAAGGGAGAUACACUUAACAUAUGCAGUCGUAUAACACCUACUAACAUUUUCAAACAUUAAACCUUUAAAAAAGAGUUCUAAAGAAAUAGAAGCUUGAAGUAUCAUCUCUCAAGUAUAUAGACACUACUUCAUGGUGUGGUAAUAUAUGCAUAUAGAAGCUAGUAAACACCUCCAGGAGAUGCAAAAGGAAUUAGAACUGCCACAAGGUGCAAGCAAAACCUUGAGCUUCUUUAAAAUAUGAAGACUUCGAAGUUAUUUAUCCAAACCAACCUGAUCAUUUCUUAAGAGUGAAUAUACCUUGGAAGACGUGUCCUGCCUUUAGUAGCGUCACAAUGGAUUACAUCCUCUAUAAAGCAGUCUGGGAUAUUCUGCCCAAUCAGAGGCUAACAUCUGCCACAAGACAAAUAUGGUGCCUGCCCCCAUGGAGCUCAUAUUCGAAUGGAGAAAAUGUCAACAAGUAUCCCACGGAGUGAACACUUCAAAAGGAGAAGCACAGGUGAGAAAAUCGAAUUUGGACACCGUUGAGGAGACUAUUGCAGUCAUCCAAGCUCAAGAUGGUGGAGCUUCAUCCUUGAGAAUAACCAAUGGGGAUAGAUUUAAGAGACACUUAGAGUCUGCAGCCAACAGGGCUGAAUGAGCAGAGAGUUAUGAUUCAGAAGAUCAUCUAAAAUUGAACAGCUGCCACUACUGGCAAUAAGUCUACUGCCAUUUGGUAGAUAACCUUCUUAUCACACAGAAAAAUAUCAGUACAGACAAAUAGACCGCAAAGAAAAUGAGACCAUCAGCAAAGAAGAUAAAGAAGUUUGUACAAAGCAACUUUUUAUAAAUGGAUGGCUGUCAGGCAAAAAUAAAUUUCCUGUGGACAAGACCAAGAGCAAGAUAUACCCGGCUUUUAAAAUUGAAAACCAUAGCCUAGAAUUCUGAUUGAAUAUGCAUAACAAGAUGGGAGCAUAAGAAGAAAAUUUUUAUUGAUCUUUAAAAUAUAAACCAAAUGACUCUCACUACUGAUUUUAGACUUGUGAAUUAAAACAGGGGUCCAUGAACUAUGCGUAGAGGGUCAAAUCUGGCCCACUGCCUGGUUAUAUAAAUAAAGUGUUGUUGAAACACAGCCA
ensembl:lncRNA LINC00343 long intergenic non-protein coding RNA 343